AGAGUUUGAUCCUGGCUCAGGACGAACGCUGGCGGCGUGCUUAACACAUGCAAGUCGAACGGAAAGGCCUUGCUUGCAAGGUACUCGAGUGGCGAACGGGUGAGUAACACGUGGGUGACCUGCCCUGCACUUUGGGAUAAGCCUGGGAAACUGGGUCUAAUACCAGAUAGGACCAUGAUGUAGUGAUUGUGGUGGAAAGUUUUUUCGGUGUGGGAUGGGCCCGCGGCCUAUCAGCUUGUUGGUGGGGUAAUGGCCUACCAAGGCGGCGACGGGUAGCCGGCCUGAGAGGGUGGACGGCCACAUUGGGACUGAGAUACGGCCCAGACUCCUACGGGAGGCAGCAGUGGGGAAUAUUGCACAAUGGGCGCAAGCCUGAUGCAGCGACGCCGCGUGGGGGAUGACGGCCUUCGGGUUGUAAACCUCUUUCGCAAGGGACGAAGCGUUUUGUGACGGUACCUUGAGAAGAAGCACCGGCUAACUACGUGCCAGCAGCCGCGGUAAUACGUAGGGUGCGAGCGUUGUCCGGAAUUACUGGGCGUAAAGAGCUCGUAGGUGGUUUGUCGCGUCGUCUGUGAAAUUCCGGGGCUUAACUCCGGGCGUGCAGGCGAUACGGGCAUAACUUGAGUGCUGUAGGGGAGACUGGAAUUCCUGGUGUAGCGGUGGAAUGCGCAGAUAUCAGGAGGAACACCGAUGGCGAAGGCAGGUCUCUGGGCAGUAACUGACGCUGAGGAGCGAAAGCAUGGGGAGCGAACAGGAUUAGAUACCCUGGUAGUCCAUGCCGUAAACGGUGGGCGCUAGGUGUGGGGUCUUCCACGACUUCUGUGCCGUAGCUAACGCAUUAAGCGCCCCGCCUGGGGAGUACGGCCGCAAGGCUAAAACUCAAAGGAAUUGACGGGGGCCCGCACAAGCGGCGGAGCAUGUGGAUUAAUUCGAUGCAACGCGAAGAACCUUACCUGGGCUUGACAUACACCAGAUCGCUGCAGAGAUGUAGUUUCCCUUGUGGUUGGUGUACAGGUGGUGCAUGGUUGUCGUCAGCUCGUGUCGUGAGAUGUUGGGUUAAGUCCCGCAACGAGCGCAACCCUUGUCUUAUGUUGCCAGCACGUGAUGGUGGGGACUCAUGAGAGACUGCCGGGGUGAACUCGGAGGAAGGUGGGGAUGACGUCAAAUCAUCAUGCCCCUUAUGUCCAGGGCUUCACACAUGCUACAAUGGUCGGUACAACGCGCAGCGAACCUGUGAGUGAGCGAAUCGCUGAAAGCCACCUCAGUUCGAUUGGGGUCUGCAACUCGACCCCAUGAAGUCGGAGUCGCUAGUAAUCGCAGAUCAGCAACGCUGCGGUGAAUACGUUCCCGGGCCUGUACACACCGCCCGUCACGUCAUGAAAGUUGGUAACACCCGAAGCCCAUGGCCCAACCACCGUGUGUGGGGAGUGGUCGAAGGUGGUGUCGGCGAUUGGGACGAAGUCGUAACAAGGUAGCCGUACCGGAAGGUGCGGCUGGAUCACCU
rnacentral:rRNA from 1 species